AACUUUCAACAACGUGAUCUCUUGGUUCUCGCAUCGAUGAAGAACGCAGCGAAAUGCGAUAAGUAGUGUGAAUUGCAGAAUUCAGUGAAUCAUCGAAUCUUUGAACGCA
rnacentral:rRNA from 1 species